AUGAACGCUGGCGGCGUGCCUAAUACAUGCCAGUCGAGCGAACAGACGAGGAGCUUGCUCCUCUGACGUUAGCGGCGGACGGGUGAGUAACACGUGGAUAACCUACCUAUAAGACUGGGAUAACUUCGGGAAACCGGAGCUUAUACCGGAUAAUAUAUUGAACCGCAUGGUUCAAUAGUGAAAGUCGGUUUUGCUGUCACUUAUAGAUGGAUCCGCGCCGCAUUAGCUAGUUGGUAAGGUAACGGCUUACCAAGGCAACGAUGCGUAGACGACCUGAGAGGGUGAUCGGACACACGGGAACUGAGACACGGACCAGACGACUACGGGAGGCAGCAGUAGGGAAUCUUCCGCAAGGGGCGAAAGCAUGACGGAGCAAAGCCGCGUGAGUGAUGAAGGUCUUCGGAUCGUAAAACUCUGUUAUUAGGGAAGAACAAAUGUGUAAGUAACUAUGCACGUCUUGACGGUAACUAAUCAGAAAGCAACGGCUAACUACGUG
rnacentral:rRNA from 1 species